rnacentral:lncRNA from 1 species
CCUUCCGGCUGGCUCUCUGAGAGAACACGUUGUCCCCGCCUGGGCCUGCGGCUUGGGCAAGAGCAGCAUGUGGGACGCUGUGUUCCUGAUAAGAUGAGGCAAUUGCUCUCACUCGGGGCGCUGCUCCGCUCGCGGCCUCGCUGUGGCGCCAGGGAACAUUUAUGUAACGCGCAGCCCUGAGCAGCUGCCCCGCCCAACCAUACUCCAAUCCCCACCCACCCCACUCUCCCCGCAACUGCAUGCGGUCCCCUACCCUGCAUCACCCGGCCAUGCAGCCUGGUACCCGAAGAGUCCCCCCUCUGCUUGGCACCUGUAGGACCCCCAAACCCCAGC